UAAACCAGAGAGCCUGCUCCAUCACUGAUAGGCUGUUUGGGUAUUCUAAACCAGAGAGUCUGCUCCAUCACUGAUAGGCUGUUUGGGUAUUCUAAACCAGAGAGUCUGCUCCAUCACUGAUAGGCUGUUUGGGUAUUCUAAACCAGAGAGUCUGCUCCAUCACUGAUAGGCUGUUUGGGUAUUCUAAACCAGAGAGUCUGCUCCAUCACUGAUAGGCUGUUUGGGUAUUCUAAACCAGAGAGUCUGCUCCAUCACUGAUAGGCUGUUUGGGUAUUCUAAACCAGAGAGUCUGCUCCAUCACUGAUAGGCUGUUUGGGUAUUCUAAACCAGAGAGUCUGCUCCAUCACUGAUAGGCUGUUUGGGUAUUCUAAACCAGAGAGUCUGCUCCAUCACUGAUAGGCUGUUUGGGUAUUCUAAACCAGAGAGUCUGCUCCAUCACUGAUAGGCUGUUUGGGUAUUCUAAACCAGAGAGUCUGCUCCAUCACUGAUAGGCUGUUUGGGUAUUCUAAACCAGAGAGUCUGCUCCAUCACUGAUAGGCUGUUUGGGUAUUCUAAACCAGAGAGUCUGCUCCAUCACUGAUAGGCUGUUUGGGUAUUCUAAACCAGAGAGUCUGCUCCAUCACUGAUAGGCUGUUUGGGUAUUCUAAACCAGAGAGUCUGCUCCAUCACUGAUAGGCUGUUUGGGUAUUCUAAACCAGAGAGUCUGCUCCAUCACUGAUAGGCUGUUUGGGUAUUCUAAACCAGAGAGUCUGCUCCAUCACUUGAUGCCUUACACAUAUGGCUGAGAGCCGUGGAUUUGAACCCUGUAUACAUGCAAGUCCGCCGCAAGGCUGUGCUGUUAGCCCACUGAGCUAAAGCCUAGGCAUUAACUUGGGGAGCUAACGCAACCCUCUAGCUCUCCACGAUCACGAGAGAAGAACCAUUUAAGUGUUUUCUUUCUAAAGGGAAUAGUGCUGUAACAAAAAAAAACGUUUUUAAAUAAAACAUUUUUGG